rnacentral:misc_RNA from 1 species
GAUGAAGAACGUAGCGAAAUGCGAUAAGUAAUGUGAAUUGCAGAAUUCAGUGAAUCAUCGAAUCUUUGAACGCACCUUGCGCUCCUUGGUAUUCCAAAGAGCAUGCCUGUUUGAGUAUCAUUAAAUUAUCAACUGUACCAAUUUGGUUGCAGAUUGGAUGUGGGAGAUUUUGCAGGCUUUUGAUUUCUCUUUGAGAAAACGGUCAGCUCUCCUGAAAUAUAUUAGCAGUGCCUUUGUUGGUUCAUUAGGUGUGAUAAUUUAUCUCCAUCUUCACAUGGUACCUUCAUUUGUGUAAAGGUCAUAUUGCUUCUAAUUGUCUUUGGACAUAAAAAAAAAAAACAUAUAAUUGUAUGGAAAACUUGAUCUCAAAUCAGGCAGGACUACCCGCUGAACUUAAGCAUAUCAAUAAGCGGAGGA